AGGCGGUCCCUCAGAUGGUUUCGAUUCUGAAACACUCUGGCGUUCCGUCA
rnacentral:pre_miRNA from 1 species